ACUCGACUACAUGAAGCUGGAAUCGCUAGUAAUCGUAGAUCAGCAUGCUACGGUGAAUACGUUCCCGGGUCUUGUACACACCGCCCGUCACACCACGAGAGUUUGUAACACCCGAAGCCGGUGGAGUAACCUUUUAGGAGCUAGCCGUCGAAGGUGGGACAAAUGAUUGGGGUGAAGUCGUAACAAGGUAGCCGUAUCGGAAGGGGCGGCUGGAUCACCUCCUUUCUAAGGA
rnacentral:rRNA from 1 species